ACACGCGCAGUAGAUCUCACGCGAUAUACACCUUUUCUCCAUUUGCUCUCACAAAAAUCUCACCGUUUCUCUCGCUGUGUCUCUCUUUGAUCUCCAUUCUCAAACUUUCUCAGGCAGUGGUGCUCGGCGUUGGUCUCUGGCCGUGGGUUUCCGGCUGUGGGUCUCCGGCCGUGGGUCUCUCACCGCUGGUCUCUCACCGUGGGUCUGCUCUCUCUCUUCUCUAUCAUCUCUAUUCUCAAACUUUCUUAGGCAGUGGUGCUCGGCGUUGGUCUCUCACCGUGGGUCUGCUCUCUCUCUUCUCUACCGUCUCUGUUCUCUCGAAUUGUAUAGGUAAUGGCAAAUUUCCGUGAGUUGAUUUUUAAUUUUUGAAAAUCCAGUUGAUAUUGUGAGCUUAAUUACACUUGGAUUGAUGUUGUAGUCGAAUUGUAUAGGUAAUGGCAAAUUUCCGUGAGUUGAUUUUUAAUUUUUGAAAAUCCAGUUGAUAUUGUGAGCAAAUGAGACAAUUAUUUUCAAUAGUCUUAGGAGAUGGCCUUGUGCUGGAGAUGGGAUUUUGAUAGCCUUAAGAGAUGGUCUUGUGCUGGAGAUGUCAUUUUGAUAGUUAUUUACAUGCAGUUUCUUGGUUACAAUUGGCAAUCCGUUAUAUCCUUUGAACUUGACUACUACAAAUAUUCCAAUUGAUGGAUGAGUUGAUUAUUCUUGUGUUCCUCUUAGACAUUUUUGAAAUGAGUGGCAAACAGACCAUAUUUUUCUUCUUUUUGUUUUCUUUGUAAUUGAAAUUGAAUAAUUUUAUUUG
rnacentral:lncRNA from 1 species